AGCGAACGCUGGCGGCAGGCCUAACACAUGCAAGUCGAGCGCCCCGCAAGGGGAGCGGCAGACGGGAGAGUAACACGUGGGAACGUACCCUUUGGUUCGGAACAACCCAGGGAAACUUGGGCUAAUACCGGAUAAGCCCUUACGGGGAAAGAUUCAUCGCCGAAGGAUCGGCCCGCGUCUGAUUAGCUAGUUGGUGGGGUAACGGCCCACCAAGGCGACGAUCAGUAGCUGGUCUGAGAGGAUGAUCAGCCUCACUGGAACUGAGACACGGCCCAGACUCCUACGGGAGGCAGCAGUGGGGAAUAUUGGACAAUGGGCGCAAGCCUGAUCCAGCCAUGCCGCGUGUGUGAUGAAGGCCCUAGGGUUGUAAAGCCCUUUCGGCGGGGAAGAUAAUGACGGUACCCGCAGAAGAAGCCCCGGCUAACUUCGUGCCAGCCGCCGCCGUAA
rnacentral:rRNA from 1 species